rnacentral:rRNA from 1 species
AUUGAACGCUGGCAGCAUGCUUUACACAUGCAAGUCGAACGGUAACAGGCCGCAAGGUGCUGACGAGUGGCGAACGGGUGAGUAAUGCAUCGGAACGUGCCCAGUCGUGGGGGAUAACGCAGCGAAAGCUGUGCUAAUACCGCAUACGAUCUAUGGAUGAAAGCGGGGGACCGUAAGGCCUCGCGCGAUUGGAGCGGCCGAUGUCAGAUUAGGUAGUUGGUGGGGUAAAGGCUCACCAAGCCAACGAUCUGUAGCUGGUCUGAGAGGACGACCAGCCUCACUGGGACUGGAACACGGCCCAGACUCCUACGGGAGGCAGCAGUGGGGAAUUUUGGACAAUGGGCGCAAGCCUGAUCCAGCAAUGCCGCGUGCAGGAAGAAGGCCUUCGGGUUGUAAACUGCUUUUGUACGGAACGAAAAGGUUUGGGUUAAUACCCUGGGCCGAUGACGGUACCGUAAGAAUAAGCACCGGCUAACUACGUGCCAGCAGCCGCCGUAA